GAUGAACGCUGGCGGCGUGCCUAAUACAUGCAAGUCGAGCGAACAGACGAGGAGCUUGCUCCUCUGACGUUAGCGGCGGACGGGUGAGUAACACGUGGAUAACCUACCUAUAAGACUGGGAUAACUUCGGGAAACCGGAGCUAAUACCGGAUAAUAUAUUGAACCGCAUGGUUCAAUAGUGAAAGACGGUUUUGCUGUCACUUAUAGAUGGAUCCGCGCCGCAUUAGCUAGUUGGUAAGGUAACGGCUUACCAAGGCAACGAUGCGUAGCCGACCUGAGAGGGUGAUCGGCCACACUGGAACUGAGACACGGCCCAGACUCCUACGGGAGGCAGCAGUAGGGAAUCUUCCGCAAUGGGCGAAAGCUUGACGGAGCAACGCCGCGUGAGUGAUGAAGGUCUUCGGAUCGUAAACCUCUGUUAUUAGGGAAGAACAAAUGUGUAAGUAACUAUGCACGUCUUGACGGUACCUAAUCAGAAAGCCACGGCUAACUACGUG
rnacentral:rRNA from 1 species